AGGCUCAGAACGAACGCUGGCGGCAGGCCUAACACAUGCAAGUCGAGCGCACCUUCGGGUGAGCGGCGGACGGGUUAGUAACGCGUGGGAACGUACCCUUCUCUAAGGAAUAGCCACUGGAAACGGUGAGUAAUACCUUAUACGCCCUUUGGGGGAAAGAUUUAUCGGAGAAGGAUCGGCCCGCGUUAGAUUAGAUAGUUGGUGGGGUAACGGCCUACCAAGUCUACGAUCUAUAGCUGGUUUUAGAGGAUGAUCAGCAACACUGGGACUGAGACACGGCCCAGACUCCUACGGGAGGCAGCAGUGGGGAAUCUUGGACAAUGGGCGAAAGCCUGAUCCAGCCAUGCCGCGUGAGUGAUGAAGGCCUUAGGGUCGUAAAGCUCUUUCGCCAGGGAUGAUAAUGACAGUACCUGGUAAAGAAACCCCGGCUAACUCCGUGCCAGCAGCCGCGGUAAUACGGAGGGGGUUAGCGUUGUUCGGAAUUACUGGGCGUAAAGCGCACGUAGGCGGAUCAGAAAGUUGGGGGUGAAAUCCCGGGGCUCAACCCCGGAACUGCCUCCAAAACUCCUGGUCUAGAGUUCGAGAGAGGUGAGUGGAAUUCCGAGUGUAGAGGUGAAAUUCGUAGAUAUUCGGAGGAACACCAGUGGCGAAGGCGGCUCACUGGCUCGAUACUGACGCUGAGGUGCGAAAGUGUGGGGAGCAAACAGGAUUAGAUACCCUGGUAGUCCACACCGUAAACGAUGAAUGCCAGUCGUCGGGUAGCAUGCUAUUCGGUGACACACCUAACGGAUUAAGC
rnacentral:rRNA from 1 species